rnacentral:rRNA from 1 species
GACGAACGCUGGCGGCGUGCUUAACACAUGCAAGUCGAACGGAAAGGCCCCCUUGAUGGGUACUCGAGUGGCGAACGGGUGAGUAACACGUGAAUAACCUACCCUUGACUUUGGUAUAACUUCAAGAAACUGGGGCUAAUACCGGAUAGAAGCUCCUUCUGCAUGGUGGGGGAUGGAAAGUUUCGGCGGUUGGGGAUGCACUCGCGGCUUAUCAACUUGUUGGUGGGGUAGUGGCUCACCAAGGCUUUGACGGGUAGCCGGCCUGAGAGGGUUACCGUACACAUUGGUACGGAGAGACGGCCCAGACUCCUACGGGAGGCAGCAGUGGGGAAUAUUGCACAAUGGGCGGAAGCAUGAUGCAGCAACGCAGCGUGCGGGAUGACGGCAUUCGGGUUGUAUACCGCUUUCGCCUGUGACGAAGCGGGAGUGACGGUAAUGGGUGAAGAAGCACCGGCUAACUACGUG